GUACGUGCACAAUAAAAUAUAAUAUUACCGAAAUUGACGUAAUAUUGCCUCAAAAAAUAUGGAACGAGCGCGUCACAGUAACAGCGGCUUCUGACAGUCAGCCAUGUUUUCAUUUUCUACUUCCAUAAAAGGACACGGUGGUGGAGCAUUUUUUGUUAUUUUAAUAAUGAAUUGCUCAUCCUAGUUGCUGUUAGGAUCCUAUAACACGGGGCUUAUUAAAGUACACAUCGAUCAAUUUUCAUCGGAGAGAGAAAAACGGCUCUGCAGGUAGAAUAACCAGGACUCGCUUCAAUGGCCCAUCAAAAAAUCUGUCAUCGGUAGGAAACAAAACAUGUAUUUUCGCAGAAUCGAAAGCCACUGCCUACCAACAAGGCAAAGCAUCACCGGAUAUAAAAUCUUACUUUUCGCGGUGUUGCGAAGAUCACUCAGGAAUGCUGAAAUGAAAAAAUGAGCGGAAAACGGAGACUCCGUCCGGUGCAUACAGGGAUGAUUCGCCUUGAAGGUUUGGAUAAAAGGUGAAGAAAGCAAAUGACUCAGAAAUAUUGAUUAAAAAUUAUAUUUUAAGAGUGGA